GCCAAGGGUGGGCCACAGGGGCCUAGGAGACUGGAGCCAGGGCCUGGAGUCUGGGGUCUGGCCCCCCCCCCCCCCCCCGGAGGUGCAGCAGGGGGUUGGGUCAGGGGGGUGGGGUGGGAUGGGGUGAUCCCUGUGCUGACCCAGCUCUGGGGCCUGGGGAGCCCUCUCUGCUCCAGCUCCCACUUCCUGCAGCUCCAGCGAAGGCCUCCCAGGACGGCCUGUGCCCACCUGAAGAUGAGGAUGAGGCUUGAGAAGAGCCCCAUCUCCCUCCCAGCUUCCAGAGGGUGGAACGCAUCCAACUCACAUGGGCCCGCAUCCACCUCCCCCGCAGCCCUAGCGGGUCUCCCCAGAGGCCAGGCAGAAAGGCAGCAGUGCUGAUUGCAUUGCCCUGCGGGAAGGCUGCAUCCGUGGCCUCUGGCUGUAGCCCCAGGGCUCCCCCUGGGUCCACCCCCCUUCCAUGGCCCCUUUCCCUGUGCCCUGCCUCAUGCUAUGUCCCACCUGCUGUCUCUGACCGGGAAACACCCAUGAGGAGUCCCAGGGAAGAUGGACAGCUUCCAGGGAGGAGAUGCAGAGAGAGAGAGAGAGAGGCAGAGACACAGGCAGAGGGAGAAGCAGGCUCCAUGCAGAGAACCCAACGUGGGACUCGAUCGCGGGACUCCAGGAUCAGGCCCUGGGCUGCAGGCGGCACUAAACCACUGCGCCACCGGGGUUGCCCAUAACCUUGUCUUCUAUACGGAAGAACCCAAAGCAGAAACCCAGUGUCUUCUCUCAAGGAAAGAUGGCCCGGAGAGCCUGCAGGCAGACGGUGAGGAGCGCAGGCUUCUGUCCUGGCCCAGGUCAGCCGGAGCCGGUCCUGUGCGUUCCUCUGGACGAUGCUAGCCACCAGCAUCUCUCCUAGGGAAACGGGCAUGCAGCAUGAAGCUGAAGAGAUGAGCUCUGGAAUGACAUCCAGGUGGCAUCCCUGCUGGAUUCUGCGACCCUCCCAUUGUGUCGCCCUGGGGCAGCUCCUUCUCUCUAGUUUCCUCAUCUCAACAGGAAUAAGAUGCCUGCUCGUUGUUCAUGAUGAAGAAUAACCAUUUGUAAAGAGCUUCCUGUUCUCGCUGAUGGAUGAUGGUUAAGUACCUCUAAUGCCAGUUGUUCUUGUUACUAGAAAAUAAUUUAGGAUGUAAAAAUAAUUAGGAUAUUGAGGGAAAUGGCUAUAAACCCUGGUGUGUGGGAGGCGAGCCACCAACUCAGGAUCUCAAUAAGACUCAUCUGAUCUCCGGGCCUCAGUUGCUCUAUGUACCAUGAGGGAGCUAUGCUGGAUGCCCUGUGCUGCCUCUGGCCUGGGAGCUGGAGACACAGAUAGAUCCAGCUCUGCCUUCAAAGGUGGCCCAGAAAAAAAAAAAAAAAAAAAAGGUGGCCCAGGCUCUGGGAAAGUAUGCAGAGAAGCUGAGCGGCUAGUGCUCUGAGAGCGUUCACCUGGGCCCAUGGACAAGAGGGAGACGGAGAGAAGGGCCUGGUGGCAGCAUCUGCAGGUGCCUGUGAGUCUCAGGUUUCUGGACACGCUGUCCAGAAGGCUGAUGGGGAAGCAGAGGACAGAGGGCUGGGUACCUGGUGUUGACUUAGGAUGGGCUGGGGGAGCAGGAUGCCACAGCAAGAACACCCUCCCAGAGUGCUAUAGGCCGCCUCGUCUUCUGCGGGGAAGGUGAGCCUGGGGUCGUGGUGCCCCAACCUCAGAGGCAAAGGCAGGGUCGUGGUUCUGUUUGCACCUCUUGCUGCUUGCUUUGUUGAAUUUUGAGAAGGAAGAGGACACCUGUUUCUCUUUUUGAUUUUCGGACGGACAUCCUUUUCUGCCUUGGAGGUCUGCUCUUGAGCGGUGUGACUGGGGAGGGGAGCAGGAGGUAUUCCUGGCUUCCCAACUGGAAAGCAUUUCUCAAGCUCUGGGACCAGAUGACGCUUAUCCUGCAAUUAAUUGUGGCGGCCCACCAAAUGGCGACCUAGGCCUACACCCAAAGAAGCAGUCACCCUUGAGUCAGAGGCAUGAGCACGAGCAAUAGUAGGAAAGCCAGUCUCCAGAAACUUCAGAAAAACAGAACUAUGGCAGAGAUGCUGUAAACUAAGCUAAUCGGGAAGGAUGUAAAUGAGAGAAAAGAAUAAGAUCCUGUGAAGAGAAUAGGCAAAUCUGAAAGAAAGAUCAAAGACGAAGAGGAUCCUGAAAUCAAAGAAAAAGAACGUCUACACAGGGUGUCAGUUAUGCAGAGAGAGGACUGGUCAGCAGCGACGGCAGAGGAGGGAGAUGAGCGGCAGCCUUCCACAUGCCCAGAGGGAAUAAGUUAACCCAACGGCCGCUCAAGAUUGCAGGAAAGAGGAGCGCCCGGGUAGCUGUCAGUUACACAUCUGGCUCUUGAUUUCAGCUGAGGUCAUGAUCUCAGGGUAAUGACAUUGAGCCCUGUGUCAGGCUCCAUGCUCAGUGGGGUGUCUGCUUCAGAUUCUCUCUCCGUCUCCCUCUGCCCCUCCUUCC